GUGGGGAAUCUUCCGCAAUGGACGAAAGUCUGACGGAGCAACGCCGCGUGAGUGAAGAAGGUUUUCGGAUCGUAAAGCUCUUUCGCUAGGGACGAACGUGCUCUUUGUGAAUAAUGAGGAGUAAUGACGGUACCUAAAUAAGAAGCCACGGCUAACUACGUGCCAGCAGCCGCGGUAAUACGUAGGUGGCAAGCGUUGUCCGGAAUUAUUGGGCGUAAAGCGCGCGCAGGCGGGAUAUUAAGUCUGUCUUAAAAGGUCGAGGCUCAACCUCGUGAGGGGACAGAAACUUGUAUUCUUGAGUGUCGGAGAGGAAAGUGGAAUUCCAAGUGUAGCGGUGAAAUGCGUAGAGAUUUGGAAGAACACCAGUGGCGAAGGCGACUUUCUGGACGAUGUCUGACGCUGAGGCGCGAAAGCUAGGGGAGCGAACGGGAUUAGAAACCCUGGUAGUCC
rnacentral:rRNA from 1 species